CCCCGCCCGGCCCUCCCACGGCCCUGAAAAUCCUGGGGCCCGGGGAGCUACACCCGGACACCGAAAGUAAGACCCGAAAAGAGGGACGGGCCGAAAGGAGGUGUGAGAUCCAAGCUCUAGCCUUGAGCUUACCCUCACGAGCGCAGGGGAAAGGAGGAUUUGUCUGGAGAACCACAGCUGCUCCGUGGUAGAUACGUAGUUACAGUGCUGUCUGGCUUGUGAAGAGGAGACUCACCCAUUAAGCUUUCAUUUUUAAGGCUAACUUACACAUCCUGAAAAACGAAAAUAUUUUAAUGAAAAUACUGACAGACCCUUAAUUAUACAGCCACACUAACACCUACAAAAAAAGAAGCAACAUCCAUAACAGUAUUCUAAGCUGCAUUUUCACAAGUGAGACAAAUACAAUUUCCUAUUGAAGUAAUUUUGCUCUACCAGAAAAUAUGUUUAAUGACACUGUCUGGGUCUUGAAUUAAACAGCAGCUACAUAUGCAGCUGUUCUGUAUGCCCUGCAUCUUCACAAGGAAAGGAAGAGCCAUGUUGCUUUUAUUUAAAUAAUAAAACAUGUUUUUUUAAA